UUCUGGUUGAUCCUGCCGGACCUGACUGCUAUCGGAUUGAUACUAAGCCAUGCGAGUCUUUGCAGUAAUGCAAGGCAUACGGCUCAGUAACACGUAGUCAACUUACCCUAUGGACGAGGAUAAUCUCGGGAAACUGAGCAUAAUACUCGAUAGAUCAUAAUGCCUGGAAUGGUUUAUGGUUGAAAUGAUUCGUCGCCAUAGGAUGGGACUGCGGCCUAUCAGCUUGUUGGUGAGGUAAUGGCCCACCAAGGCGAUUACAGGUACGGGCUCUGAGAGGAGAAGCCCGGAGAUGGGUACUGAGACAAGGACCCAGGCCCUAUGGGGCGCAGCAGGCGAGAAAACUUUGCAAUGUGCGAAAGCACGACAAGGUUAAUCCGAGUGAUUUCUGCUAAAGAAAUCUUUUUGCAAG
rnacentral:rRNA from 1 species